GACGAACGCUGGCGGCGUGCUUAACACAUGCAAGUCGAACGGAAAGGCCCUGCUUUUGUGGGGUGCUCGAGUGGCGAACGGGUGAGUAACACGUGAGUAACCUGCCCUUGACUUUGGGAUAACUUCAGGAAACUGGGGCUAAUACCGGAUAGGAGCUCCUGCUGCAUGGUGGGGGUUGGAAAGUUUCGGCGGUUGGGGAUGGACUCGCGGCUUAUCAGCUUGUUGGUGGGGUAGUGGCUUACCAAGGCUUUGACGGGUAGUCGGCCUGAGAGGGUGACCGGCCACAUUGGGACUGAGAUACGGCCCAGACUCCUACGGGAGGCAGCAGUGGGGAAUAUUGCACAAUGGGCGGAAGCCUGAUGCAGCAAUGCCGCGUGCGGGAUGACGGCCUUCGGGUUGUAAACCGCUUUCGCCUGUGACGAAGCGUGAGUGACGGUAAUGGGUAAAGAAGCACCGGCUAACUACGUG
rnacentral:rRNA from 1 species